UACGGAGGGUGCAAGCGUUAAUCGGAAUUACUGGGCGUAAAGCGCGCGUAGGCGGCUUUUUAAGUCGGAUGUGAAAGCCCCGGGCUCAACCUGGGAACUGCAUCCGAUACUGGAAGACUAGAAUGCGGGAGAGGGAGGUAGAAUUCCAUGUGUAGCAGUGAAAUGCGUAGAUAUAUGGAGGAAUACCAGUGGCGAAGGCGGCCUCCUGGCUCGACAUUGACGCUGAGGUGCGAAAGCGUGGGGAGCAAACGGG
rnacentral:rRNA from 1 species